rnacentral:rRNA from 1 species
UGGGGAAUCUUGCGCAAUGGGCGAAAGCCUGACGCAGCCAUGCCGCGUGAAUGAUGAAGGUCUUAGGAUUGUAAAGUUCUUUCGCUCGUGACGAUGAUGACGGUAACGAGAGAAGAAGCCCCGGCUAACUUCGUGCCAGCAGCCGCGGUAAUACGAAGGGGGCUAGCGUUGUUCGGAUUUACUGGGCGUAAAGCGCGUGUAGGCGGACUUGUAAGUUGGGGGUGAAAUCCCGAGGCUCAACCUCGGAACUGCCUCCAAAACUACAAAUCUGGACCUAAGUAGAGGCAAGUGGAAUUGCGAGUGUAGAGGUGAAAUUCGUAGAUAUUCGCAGGAACACCAGUGGCGAAGGCGACUUGCUGGACUUAUGGUGACGCUGAGACGCGAAAGCGUGGGGAGCAAACAGGAUUAGAUACCCUAGUAGUCCCUGAGCGGGCUGGCAAGGCGCAU